rnacentral:rRNA from 1 species
UGGGGAAUUUUGGACAAUGGGCGCAAGCCUGAUCCAGCCAUACCGCGUGAGUGAAGAAGGCCUUCGGGUUGUAAAGCUCUUUCAGACGGAAAGAAACGGUUACGGCUAAUACCCGUGACUAAUGACGGUACCGUAAGAAGAAGCACCGGCUAACUACGUGCCAGCAGCCGCGGUAAUACGUAGGGUGCGAGCGUUAAUCGGAAUUACUGGGCGUAAAGCGUGCGCAGGCGGUUUGGUAAGACAGAUGUGAAAUCCCCGGGCUUAACCUGGGAACUGCAUUUGUGACUGCCAGACUAGAGUGUAGCAGAGGGGAGUAGAAUUCCACGUGUAGCAGUGAAAUGCGUAGAUAUGUGGAGGAAUACCGAUGGCGAAGGCAGCCCCCUGGGCUAACACUGACGCUCAUGCACGAAAGCGUGGGGAGCAAACAGGAUUAGAUACCCUCGUAGUCCCUGAGCGGGCUGGCAAGGCGCAU